ensembl:lncRNA novel transcript
GCGGAGAUAUGGCAGUUCACCAACACAAUUUGUGGUCCCCCUCCCCUUCUCUUUUCUAGAAUUUUUUCUCUUACUUUCUAGCCAUUGUGUUAUCUCAAGUAUCUGUCCUGGUCUUCCAAACCAAUCUGCUGGGAGUGGGCCAGACUUCCCAUGUCCCUGACUGUCAGCAGCAGAUGUUCCUCCUCUAGACCACCAUCUUGAAUCCAGAUUCACUCCACUCUCUUCUUGCUGCAAUAUCUCUGAGAAGAAGCCGUAGGGGAUUGUUCUCCAGUCUUGACUUUGAGAACUUGGUAGAGCUCCUGAAGGCUCACCUGAUAAGAGAUGUAUGUCACAAUCUGCUCACCCUGGCAUUUCUCUAAAUAGAAGGUUCAUCUGUCUGAAUAUAGAUAUCAAGAAGUGGCAGAGUAUCAGAGGAGAAAGAUAUCAAGAAAUAGAAUAUUCAAGCUGUUUCAACUUCUACCCGUUCCACAUUUCCGAAGCUACUUCC